rnacentral:rRNA from 1 species
UACGGAGGGGGCUAGCGUUGUUCGGAAUUACUGGGCGUAAAGCGCGCGUAGGCGGCUUUUCAAGUUAGAGGUGAAAGCCCGAAGCUCAACUUCGGAAUUGCCUUUAAAACUGCGAGGCUAGAAUUGUGGAGAGGUAAGUGGAAUUCCGAGUGUAGAGGUGAAAUUCGUAGAUAUUCGGAAGAACACCAGUGGCGAAGGCGACUUACUGGACACAUAUUGACGCUGAGGUGCGAAAGCGUGGGGAGCAAACAGG